UCAGGGAACUGGAGGCACAGCCAGUGUCACACAGUAAGGGACCAACAGCAAGUCCAAGCCUUUUCACUAAUCCAAGUGGAUGAGUAAACACAGCAGCUGAGUUCUCUGCCACCAGCAAGGUCCCGGCUGUGACUCUGGGUCCGGUUUUCCCACUCCGGUGACAGAGGUAAUGAACCCUUCCCAUGCCUUUCACAAAGGUCUAUGACGCGCACAGAAACCCAGCCCCACCAGGGAACACCCUGCUGCUCGCUCGUCAACUUGGAAGGCAUCUACCGUGAGGAAAGCAGAGUGGAGAAGCUAAGUCCCAUCUCAGCCCCAGCCAGGGCCCCACCUAGGGAAGACCUGGGUUUGCCUGGGGAGCAGGCGACCUCUCUAAAGUAUGGGGUUACCCAAGCCAGGGGGCCCCCCCGCCGUGCACUCUCAGCAGGAGCUCUGUAGCGGGGAGGUUUCCCUCCCAUCCUCCCCACGGAGCCAUAACCUGAGUCAUGGGCAAGUUCAAAGCAGCCCCGGGGGGCAGGGAGGGGGCGUCCUGGCCGGGCACAGCAGGUCGCCCGAGGACCCUGACCUGACCCUAGCGGAGCGGGAGCGGACGAGUCGCUCCACAAGAAGCUAGGUGUGGGGCGAGCGGGCUCGGCGGGGACCCAGGCGGAGACAGGGGUUGGGCGGCCGCUCCAGCGGGGAGGCGCCUGGGUCCACCGGGGUAGGCAGGAGGAGGGGUCCCGGCCCGAGGCGGGUGUCGCUGGGGGUCUUGAGAGGAGGGGUGCGGUGUCCUGAUGUGGGGCAGCCGUCCCAGCCAAAGGUCUGUCGCUGAGACUCGGGGACGGGAUCCUCGCAGGUACCGGGCUGCAGGGGGCGUCCGGCCCGGGGGCAGCCUCCGAGAGACUUGGGGAUCCCAGGAGGUACUGGGGUGCAGGGGGGCCGGCCCGGGGGCAGCCUCCGAGAGACUUGGGGAUCCCAGGAGGUACUGGGGUGCAGGGGGGCCGGCCCGGGGGCAGCCUCCGAGAGACUUGGGGAUCCCAGGAGGUACUGGGGUGCAGGGGGGCCGGCCCGGGGGCAGCCUCCGAGAGACUUGGGGAUCCCAGGAGGUACUGGGGUGCAGGGGGGCCGGCCCGGGGGCAGCCUCCGAGACUUGGGGUUCCCAGGAGGUACUGGGGUGCAGGGGGGCCGGCCCGGGGGCAGCCUCCGAGACUUGGGGUUCCCAGGAGGUACUGGGGUGCAGGGGGCGGCCCGGGGACAGUCUCCGAGUGACUUGGGGGUCCCAGGAAGUACUGGGGUACAGGGGGGCGGCCCGGGGACAGAAUGAAGCACUUGGGCGGUGGGGUCCCGGGUCCUGAAACAGAGGAGACGGCUCAGCCCGGGGUGGGGGGCGUCGCUGACGGACUAGAGAGAAGGGGUUCCCCAAGGCACUGAGGCAGCGUCCCGGCCUAGGGGCGUCGCUGAGAAGUACCAAGUCCUGAGGCGGAGGACACCACCGGGCCCCGGGGCGUCGCUGAGGGGCCUGGGAAAGGGGUCCCGAGGCGGGAGGGAACGGGCUCCCCCAGCGAGUCGGCUCGCGUCGCCGCUCGGGCGGGCUCCGCGCAGAACGAGCGCCGGGGGUCGCUCACUCACCGGGUCCGGGGCCGAGACCGGGGCUGGGCGCGGGCCGGGCCG